rnacentral:rRNA from 1 species
AAUCAACGCUGGCGGCGUGCCUCAGACAUGCAAGUCGAACGCGAAAGUUCCCUUCGGGGAGCGAGUAGAGUGGCGCACGGGUGAGUAACACGUAGGUAAUCUACCUCAGGGUGGGGAAUAACAGCCGGAAACGGCUGCUAAUACCGCAUAAUGCAGCGGCACCACAUGGUGACAGUUGUUAAAGCGGGGAUCGUAAGACCUCGCGCCUGGAGAUGAGCCUGCGGCGGAUUAGCUAGUUGGCAGGGUAACGGCCUACCAAGGCAACGAUCCGUAGCCGGCCUGAGAGGGCGGACGGCCACACUGGCACUGACAUACGGGCCAGACUCCUACGGGAGGCAGCAGUCGGGAAUUUUGGGCAAUGGGCGAAAGCCUGACCCAGCAACGCCGCGUGAAGGAUGAAGCUUUUCGGAGUGUAAACUUCAUAAGAAUGGGACGAAUAAGGAGGGGUUAAUACCCCUUUCGAUGACGGUACCAUUUGUAAGCUCCGCUAACUCCGUGCCAGCAGCCGCU